AUUGAACGCUGGCGGCAUGCCUUACACAUGCAAGUCGAACGGUAACAGGUCUUCGGAUGCUGACGAGUGGCGAACGGGUGAGUAAUACAUCGGAACGUGCCUAGUAGUGGGGGAUAACUACUCGAAAGAGUGGCUAAUACCGCAUGAGAUCUACGGAUGAAAGCAGGGGAUCGCAAGACCUUGUGCUACUAGAGCGGCCGGUGGCAGAUUAGGGAGUUGGUGGGAUAAAAGCUUACCAAGCCGAAGAUCUGUAGCUGGUCUGAGAGGACGAUCAGCCACACGGGGACUGAGACACGGCCCAGACUCCUACGGGAGGCAGCAGUGGGGAAUUUUGGACAAUGGGCGCAAGCCUGAUUCAGCAAUGCCGCGUGCAGGAUGAAGGCCUUCGGGUUGUAAACUGCUUUUGUACGGAACGAAAAGCCCCGGGCUAAUACCCUGGGGUCAUGACGGUACCGUAAGAAUAAGCACCGGCUAACUACGUGCCAGCCGCCGCCGUAA
rnacentral:rRNA from 1 species